rnacentral:tRNA from 1 species
GGGCCUAUGGCCAAAUGGAUGCGGCUCCUGACUACGAAUCAGGAGAUUCAAGGUCCGACCCUUGGUAGGCUCG